GGAACGGUCUGGAAAGUCCGACGGUACAGGGUGAUAGUCCCGUACACCAAAAUGCACAGGUUGUGAACUCGAAGAGUAGGGCGGGACACGUGGUAUCCUGUCUGAAUAUGGGGGGACCAUCCUCCAAGGCUAAAUACUCCUGACUGACCGAUAGUGAACCAGUACCGUGAGGGAAAGGCGAAAAGAACCCCGGCGAGGGGAGUGAAAAAGAACCUGAAACCGUGUACGUACAAGCAGUGGGAGCACCUUCGGGUGUGACUGCGUACCUUUUGUAUAAUGGGUCAGCGACUUAUAUUCUGUAGCAAGGUUAACCGUAUAGGGGAGCCGCAGGGAAACCGAGUCUUAACUGGGCGUUAAGUUGCAGGGUAUAGACCCGAAACCCGGUGAUCUAGCCAUGGGCAGGUUGAAGGUUGGGUAACACUAACUGGAGGACCGAACCGACUAAUGUUGAAAAAUUAGCGGAUGACUUGUGGCUGGGGGUGAAAGGCCAAUCAAACCGGGAGAUAGCUGGUUCUCCCCGAAAGCUAUUUAGGUAGCGCCUCGUGAACUCAUCUUCGGGGGUAGAGCACUGUUUCGGCUAGGGGGUCAUCCCGACUUACCAACCCGAUGCAAACUACGAAUACCGAAGAAUGUUAUCACGGGAGACACACGGCGGGUGCUAACGUCCGUCGUGAAGAGGGAAACAACCCAGACCGCCAGCUAAGGUCCCAAAGUCAUGGUUAAGUGGGAAACGAUGUGGGAAGGCACAGACAGCCAGGAUGUUGGCUUAGAAGCAGCCAUCAUUUAAAGAAAGCGUAAUAGCUCACUGGUCGAGUCGGCCUGCGCGGAAGAUGUAACGGGGCUAAACCAUGCACCGAAGCUGCGGCAGCGACACUAUGUGUUGUUGGGUAGGGGAGCGUUCUGUAAGCCUGCGAAGGUGUGCUGUGAGGCAUGCUGGAGGUAUCAGAAGUGCGAAUGCUGACAUAAGUAACGAUAAAGCGGGUGAAAAGCCCGCUCGCCGGAAGACCAAGGGUUCCUGUCCAACGUUAAUCGGGGCAGGGUGAGUCGACCCCUAAGGCGAGGCCGAAAGGCGUAGUCGAUGGGAAACAGGUUAAUAUUCCUGUACUUGGUGUUACUGCGAAGGGGGGACGGAGAAGGCUAUGUUAGCCGGGCGACGGUUGUCCCGGUUUAAGCAUGUAGGCUGAUUGUCCAGGCAAAUCCGGAUAAUCAAGGCUGAGGUGUGAUGACGAGGCACUACGGUGCUGAAGUAACAAAUGCCCUGCUUCCAGGAAAAGCCUCUAAGCAUCAGGUAACAUUAAAUCGUACCCCAAACCGACACAGGUGGUCAGGUAGAGAAUACCAAGGCGCUUGAGAGAACUCGGGUGAAGGAACUAGGCAAAAUGGUGCCGUAACUUCGGGAGAAGGCACGCUGGUGUGUAGGUGAAGUCCCUGCGGAUGGAGCUGAGACCAGUCGAAGAUACCAGCUGGCUGCAACUGUUUAUUAAAAACACAGCACUGUGCAAACACGAAAGUGGACGUAUACGGUGUGACGCCUGCCCGGUGCCGGAAGGUUAAUUGAUGGGGUUAUCCGUAAGGAGAAGCUCUUGAUCGAAGCCCCGGUAAACGGCGGCCGUAACUAUAACGGUCCUAAGGUAGCGAAAUUCCUUGUCGGGUAAGUUCCGACCUGCACGAAUGGCGUAAUGAUGGCCAGGCUGUCUCCACCCGAGACUCAGUGAAAUUGAACUCGCUGUGAAGAUGCAGUGUACCCGCGGCAAGACGGAAAGACCCCGUGAACCUUUACUAUAGCUUGACACUGAACAUUGAGCCUUGAUGUGUAGGAUAGGUGGGAGGCUUUGAAGCGUGGACGCCAGUCUGCGUGGAGCCAACCUUGAAAUACCACCCUUUAAUGUUUGAUGUUCUAACGUUGGCCCCUGACCGGGGUUGCGGACAGUGUCUGGUGGGUAGUUUGACUGGGGCGGUCUCCUCCCAAAGCGUAACGGAGGAGCACGAAGGUUAGCUAAUCCUGGUCGGACAUCAGGAGGUUAGUGCAAUGGCAUAAGCUAGCUUGACUGCGAGCGUGACGGCGCGAGCAGGUGCGAAAGCAGGUCAUAGUGAUCCGGUGGUUCUGAAUGGAAGGGCCAUCGCUCAACGGAUAAAAGGUACUCCGGGGAUAACAGGCUGAUACCGCCCAAGAGUUCAUAUCGACGGCGGUGUUUGGCACCUCGAUGUCGGCUCAUCACAUCCUGGGGCUGAAGUAGGUCCCAAGGGUAUGGCUGUUCGCCAUUUAAAGUGGUACGCGAGCUGGGUUUAGAACGUCGUGAGACAGUUCGGUCCCUAUCUGCCGUGGGCGCUGGAGAAUUGAGGGGGGCUGCUCCUAGUACGAGAGGACCGGAGUGGACGCAUCACUGGUGUUCGGGUUGUCAUGCCAAUGGCACUGCCCGGUAGCUAAAUGCGGAAGAGAUAAGUGCUGAAAGCAUCUAAGCACGAAACUUGCCCCGAGAUGAGUUCUCCCUGAGACUUUAAGUCUCCUGAAGGAACGUUGAAGACGACGACGUUGAUAGGCCGGGUGUGUAAGCGCAGCGAUGCGUUGAGCUAACCGGUACUAAUGAACCGUGAGGCUUAACCUU
rnacentral:rRNA from 1 species